rnacentral:lncRNA from 10 species
CUUUUUUUUUUUUUUUUUUUUUUUCCUCUGUGCAUCCUAGAAAAACUCCCAGGACUAGACUUAGGAGGAGGCAAUCAAGUUAUGUGGUAAAACAAGAGUGCCUUUUCUGUUGGAUAUCCACUUUAGUUUCCUGGCUUCCAGGGCAUAAGAUGUUUAGAAACUUUUUUUCUCUAAACAUAAGAAUUAUUGUGUACCACAAUUUUGAACCACCGAUUUCCAUAUCUUCAGCAGCUAUCAACUUGCCAAUUCCCUUUGGGUCUCCUUUGUAUAUUCUUAUGUUUCCUUCUGUUUCCAGUUGUCCUCAAAAAGAGUUGAGGGGGGCAUGACUCUUAUAAAAUGGAUAAAAAUGAAACUGUACAGAUGUUUGCCUCCCUUGUAUCUGUGAGCAUGAUCUCUAUCAGGCUGGAAAAUCUGCUUUAUCAUUUUGUAUAUUUGACUAUUUUGUAUUCAGCAUUACUUGACUCCUUAUGUGCAUGGCAAUGUAUUAAAAUGUGGGAUUUCUAUUACCGUGUAAAA